UACGGGGGGAGCAAGCGUUGUUCGGAUUUACUGGGCGUAAAGGGCGCGUAGGCGGCCAGCACAAGUCAGUUGUGAAAUCUCCGAGCUUAACUCGGAAAGGUCAACUGAUACUGUGCGGCUAGAGUGCGGAAGGGGCAACUGGAAUUCUUGGUGUAGCGGUGAAAUGCGUAGAUAUCAAGAGGAACACCGGUGGCGAAGGCGGCAUCCUGGACCAAUACUGACGCUGAGGAGCGAAAGCCAGGGGAGCAAACGGG
rnacentral:rRNA from 1 species